rnacentral:lncRNA from 10 species
CUUUUAGCCCCUACUGAGCUUAUAGUUAACAGAAGUUUCCAGGUCUUUCUUCACCUGAACUGUGUCUAAAGCAAGUUCUCUCCACCUUCUGUAUUUAUACGCUUGAUUUUUAAAACCUAAAUGUUGGGCUUCACAUUUCUUCCUUGUAAAUUUCAUCUUGGUGAUUGCAGUCUACCCUCUGGCCUUUAAAAAUUGUCUGAGCCUUGAUUCGAUCAUGAAACCAGCUUACCCUUCCCCUGUGUGCUGGCCCCAGUUUUCUAACCAGGUGUUGAAUGAACUGGAUGGACUCUGCCAGAUCCCUCCGUGCAAGGCUGGAAUCAGUCCAUUGUUCAACUGUGCCCUUUGGGGCUGUGGUUCAUUUGGCUCUGAUUUUUCCUAUAUGUUCUCUCCUCCAACCCCCAUAGCUCCAUCUUGUCUACAAGAUUUUGUUAGAAGCCGUCAAAAUCCUGCUGACUCGAGAUGCGCUGUGGUGCAUGUUUUCCCCGGGCACAGCAGGCUAAUAAUCCUGUUACAAAGAGAAAUGCUGUACAUUUCGAGCAGUGCUGGCCCCUGGGACUCACCGUGGCCUUUUCUAAGUGCUUACAGACUCUCUGUUUAAUAAUCCAUUCCAGAAAUUUUCCAGGGCUCAUUGUUGAGCUUGGUGUUCGCAACUUUGAGUGAUCAGCCCUUCUCCUUUGUGGGAGCACCAGGACAGAGCAGCCUUUGUCCCUCCCCAGUCUCAGUUCCCUCCCACUGCCCCUGUGGACCUCGAAUGCAGAGCUUAUGCACCUACCGAAGGUCGUGUCAGCACCCAAGGCAGAACGAGGCUGCCCUGGGAACUAGGGUCAAUUAAGACAGCUUGUGCUGGAGGACCCUUUACAGCAGAUGAAGGCCUCUCCCCAGCCAGAAAAGAUGGAGCACACGCUGGGUGGUGGCCCCGCUUCCUCACUGGAAGGAGAUGGUGCUCUUCUUUUUUCUUUCUGAAUUGUGGCCACCUUCAUACCAGUCUGUCAUGGAACACUUAAGCCGCUUGAGUGCCUGCUGGUACUCCCAGCCCUGCCAUGCCUGAGCCCCCUGCACACAAGGAGCCAGGAGUAAUCAGGGCAGACCCUUUAGGGCACGGGGACUUCUGGAUUGUGAAAUUGGCUCUCUGGGGGCCAAGGCCUUCUAACGUUGGUGGAAGUGGCUUUGGCUUAUUGGGUCGGAUUCUAGGCCAUUCAUUCCAACCUUUAGAGACAUCCCAGCUUUCCCUAGCCCAGAGUCUGCAGCCCCUCCACCAUCCCACAUCCUCCCCCUCCCUUUCCUCAUGAACCCCAGUCGCGCCUCUGCCUUCUCAAACCCCUCCACCAUCCCACACCCUCCUCCUGCCCUUCCUCAUGAACCCCAGUCGCGCCUCUGCCUUCUCAUCCCUGCGCACCACACAGGCUCGCUCGUGCCCGGUGAGUGCUGAGGCUGCUCUGCACGUGGAGUAUGGCCCUGUGGGCAAGGGCUGGGCUCUUGGAGGUAGGGGAGCUACAGGGGCGACUGGGAGGAGGAUGUUGUGUUACACACGCAUCAGAGUUAACUUUGCAGUGAGAGCGGCCUUGCUGCGGCCAAAGAACAUGGAAAAGCAUGAGUGGGGUGAUGUGCCUUAAAGCAUCAGACACUUGGGCCUCGGGCAUCAGGAGCCAGCCACAGGGAUGUCUGGGGAAAUGGCGUUCCAUGAGAUGCAAGCACACAAGAAUGCACUUGGCACAUCUGGGGAACAGCAGGCAGCUGAUAUCACUGGGCCCACCCCGCACCAGGGAGGAUGGAAGCAGCAGGUAGAGCAGAGCCGGAGCCAGGUGCAGGCCAUUGGAGAGAAGGUCUCCUUGGCCCAGGCCAAGAUUGAGAAGAUCAAGGGCAGCAAGAAGGCCAUCAAGGUGUUCUCCAGUGCCAAGUACCCUGCUCCAGGGCGCCUGC